UACAGAGGUCUCAAGCGUUGUUCGGAUUCAUUGGGCGUAAAGGGUGCGUAGGCGGCGCGGUAAGUCGGGUGUGAAAUCUCGGGGCUUAACUCCGAAACUGCAUUCGAUACUGCCGUGCUUGAGGACUGGAGAGGAGACUGGAAUUUACGGUGUAGCAGUGAAAUGCGUAGAUAUCGUAAGGAAGACCAGUGGCGAAGGCGAGUCUCUGGACAGUUACCGACGCUGAGGCACGAAGGUCAGGGGAGCAAACGGG
rnacentral:rRNA from 1 species